UUAACUAUUAGAUAGUACUCGGACGCCGCGUUCAGGUUCAGGGUUUGGGGGCCUUUGGCGAGCGCACGCCAGCGAAUCGCCGGCGGCCUGGAGGGUCGGCCCGCCAAAGCAACAGGGUCAGGUAAACAGGGUGGGAGAUCUACCCCGGGGGGCACGAACUCGGUAAUGAUCCUUCCGCAGGUUCACCUACGGAAA
rnacentral:misc_RNA from 1 species